UUAAGAAACAUAGUUUAAUUUUAAGUUAAAUAUCUGUAAAUAAUUUUU
rnacentral:tRNA from 1 species